rnacentral:rRNA from 1 species
AGACAGCAGUCGCCGCGGUAAUACAGAGGGUGCUAGCGUUAAUCGGAUUUACUGGGCGUAAAGCGUGCGUAGGCGGCUUUUUAAGUCGGAUGUGAAAUCCCUGAGCUUAACUUAGGAAUUGCAUUCGAUAAUGGGAAGCUAGAGUAUGGGAGAGGAUGGUAGAAUUCCAGGUGUAGCGGUGAAAUGCGUAGAGAUCUGGAGGAAUACCGAUGGCGAAGGCAGCCAUCUGGCCUAAUACUGACGCUGAGGUACGAAAGCAUGGGGAGCAAACAGGAUUAGAUACCCCUGUAGUCCCUGUCUCUUAUAC